rnacentral:rRNA from 1 species
AUUGAACGCUGGCGGCAGGCCUAACACAUGCAAGUCGAGCGGAUGAAGGGAGCUUGCUCCUGGAUUCAGCGGCGGACGGGUGAGUAAUGCCUAGGAAUCUGCCUGGUAGUGGGGGAUAACGUCCGGAAACGGGCGCUAAUACCGCAUACGUCCUGAGGGAGAAAGUGGGGGAUCUUCGGACCUCACGCUAUCAGAUGAGCCUAGGUCGGAUUAGCUAGUUGGUGGGGUAAAGGCCUACCAAGGCGACGAUCCGUAACUGGUCUGAGAGGAUGAUCAGUCACACUGGAACUGAGACACGGUCCAGACUCCUACGGGAGGCAGCAGUGGGGAAUAUUGGACAAGGGGCGAAAGCCUGAUCCAGCCAUGCCGCGUGUGUGAAGAAGGUCUUCGGAUUGUAAAGCACUUUAAGUUGGGAGGAAGGGCAGUAAGUUAAUACCUUGCUGUUUUGACGUUACCAACAGAAUAAGCACCGGCUAACUUCGG